UACGGAGGGUGCAAGCGUUAUCCGGAAUGAUUGGGCGUAAAGCGUCCGCAGGUGGCAGUUCAAGUAGGCUGUCAAAGACCGGGGCUUAACUUCGGAAAGGCAGUGGAAACUGAACAGCUAGAGUAUGGUAGGGGCAGAGGGAAUUCCUGGUGUAGCGGUGAAAUGCGUAGAGAUCAGGAAGAACAUCGGUGGCGAAGGCGCUCUGCUGGACCAUAACUGACACUCAGGGACGAAAGCUAGGGGAGCGAAUGGG
rnacentral:rRNA from 1 species